rfam:Brassica napus, WGS project CCCW01000000 data, contig: 22262
AAAGGCAGUGAUGACUCGGAAAUAUUCAAGCUCAACAGACCGGAAUUAGGCUUUUCUUUCUUUUAAUUUGAGAGAUUCGUUUCUGUGUCGAUAAUCCCCGCUGAACUGAGCCUUU